rnacentral:lncRNA from 1 species
GAAGUGGGUUUUAUCAUACCCUCCUUAUUAUUACCCAUCCCAGUCCCUUGAUCUCUUACCCCUCACUGUCUUCUCCACUAUCCUAGAAAUAGGAAUGUUGUACUUUAAGUUUGUUUAGGGACAGGAAUGAUGUGGAACUUUAAAAGAGUUGAAUAUGAGAAAGAACUAGAGAUGAAAUAUUUAAAGAAAAAUAAGAGUUCAUAUUGCUUUCUGUUGUUUAUGGUGCUUGAGUAAGUUUUUCUUUUCUUUUUCCUGAGGAUUGAGCAAGACAUGCCGCCUGGAUGGUCAGAAGAGAGGGUGCUCAGAAACCACUGAUCCAGACACAAGCAGCUUCAGGACCUAAAGUGAAGAACACUGAAGAUCCCAGGAAGGAAUAGUGCAAAGAAGGAGAAGAGAGAGCUAUGAAAUAACAGAAUACAGAGCAAAAUCCCCCUGCCUUUGGGGAAAGAAUCAGCCAUCAUGGACUCUCUGGCUUGGGCCACAGUAUUGCAACCAGCAUUUGGCCUUCAUCUUCCAAUAUCUUUGGGGACAGAAUUUAUCUGUGCAUUCCACAGCAUCAGGUGCCAGUGGGGUAGCAGUAUAUGAGAAUGAAGCGAAGCAAAUAUAACUUCCAUGAAGUGUGCAUCAAUUUUGUAUGUCACUGUGUUCAAAGUGCUUUACCACACAUUAUGUCUUGCCCCAUAGCAAUGCAACAGAAUAAAUUAAAUUUUAC